rnacentral:rRNA from 1 species
GAUGAACGCUAGCGGCAGGCUUAACACAUGCAAGUCGAGGGGUAUAGUUCUUCGGAACUAGAGACCGGCGCACGGGUGCGUAACGCGUAUGCAAUCUACCUUUUGCAGAGGGAUAGCCCAGAGAAAUUUGGAUUAAUACCUCAUGGUAUGUGAGAAUGGCAUCAUUUUCACAUUAAAGUCACAACGGCAAAAGAUGAGCAUGCGUCCCAUUAGCUUGUUGGUAAGGUAACGGCUUACCAAGGCAACGAUGGGUAGGGGUCCUGAGAGGGAGAUCCCCCACACUGGUACUGAGACACGGACCAGACUCCUACGGGAGGCAGCAGUGAGGAAUAUUGGACAAUGGGCGCAAGCCUGAUCCAGCCAUGCCGCGUGCAGGAUGACGGUCCUAUGGAUUGUAAACUGCUUUUGUGCAGGAAGAAACACUGGUUCGUGAACCAGCUUGACGGUACUGUAAGAAUAAGGAUCGGCUAACUCCGUGCCAGCCGCCGCCGUAAGAC